GUGGGGAAUAUUGGACAAUGGGGGGAACCCUGAUCCAGCCAUGCCGCGUGUGUGAAGAAGGCCUUUUGGUUGUAAAGCACUUUAAGCGAGGAGGAGGCUACCGAGAUUAAUACUCUUGGAUAGUGGACGUUACUCGCAGAAUAAGCACCGGCUAACUCUGUGCCAGCAGCCGCGGUAAUACAGAGGGUGCAAGCGUUAAUCGGAUUUACUGGGCGUAAAGCGCGCGUAGGUGGCCAAUUAAGUCAAAUGUGAAAUCCCCGAGCUUAACUUGGGAAGUGCAUUCGAUACUGGUUGGCUAGAGUAUGGGAGAGGAUGGUAGAAUUCCAGGUGUAGCGGUGAAAUGCGUAGAGAUCUGGAGGAAUACCGAUGGCGAAGGCAGCCAUCUGGCCUAAUACUGACACUGAGGUGCGAAAGCAUGGGGAGCAAACAGGAUUAGAUACCCUUGUAGUCC
rnacentral:rRNA from 1 species